GAAAUGCGAUAAGUAGUGUGAAUUGCAGAAUUCAGUGAAUCAUCGAAUCUUUGAACGCACAUUGCGCCCCUUGGUAUUCCAUGGGGCAUGCCUGUUCGAGCGUCAUCUACACCCUCAAGCUCUGCUUGGUGUUGGGCGUCUGUCCCCGCCUCCGCGCGCGGACUCGCCCCAAAUCCAUUGGCAGCGUCCCCUCGCCCCCCUCUCGCGCAGCACGAAUGUGCAUGACGAGGGAGCGGCUCCCGGGAUCGCGACCCACCCCCAAGAUGACCACCGUCUUUGACCUCGGAUCAGGUAGGGAUACCCGCUGAACUUAAGC
rnacentral:misc_RNA from 1 species